rnacentral:rRNA from 1 species
ACGCUCGACACCUACGGGAGGCAGCAGUGGGGAAUAUUGCACAAUGGGGGAAACCCUGAUGCAGCGACGCCGCGUGAAGGAAGAAGUAUUUCGGUAUGUAAACUUCUAUCAGCAGGGAAGAAAAUGACGGUACCUGACUAAGAAGCCCCCGGCUAACUACGUGCCACAGCCGCGGUAAUCUGAGCGGGCUGGCAAGGC